rnacentral:rRNA from 1 species
UACGGAGGACGCGAGCGUUAUCCGGAUUUAUUGGGUUUAAAGGGUGCGCAGGCGGAUUUUUAAGUCAGCGGUCAAAUCGUGGGGCUCAACCCCAUCCAGCCGUUGAAACUGGGGAUCUAGAGUGUGCGAGAGGUAUGCGGAAUGCGUGGUGUAGCGGUGAAAUGCAUAGAUAUCACGCAGAACCCCGAUUGCGAAGGCAGCAUACCGGUGCACAACUGACGCUCAGGCACGAAAGCGUGGGUAUCGAACAGG